rnacentral:rRNA from 1 species
GACGAACGCUGGCGGCGUGCUUAACACAUGCAAGUCGAACGAGAAAGCCCUUCGGGGUAAGUACAGUGGCGAACGGGUGAGUAACACGUGGGCAACCUGCCCCGGAGAGCGGGACAGCCCGAGGAAACUCGGGCUAAUACCGCAUGAUGCGUCUCCACUUAAGUGGAGCCGCCACAUGGUAGCUUCGGCCUCCGCUCUGGGAUGGGCCCGCGCCGGAUUAGCUAGUUGGUUGGGGUAAUGGCCCACCAAGGCGACGAUCCGUAGCUGGUCUGAGAGGACGAUCAGCCACACUGGGACUGAGACACGGCCCAGACUCCUACGGGAGGCAGCAGUGGGGAAUCUUGCGCAAUGGGCGAAAGCCUGACGCAGCAACGCCGCGUGAGGGAAGAAGGCCUUCGGGUUGUAAACCUCUUUCAGUAGGGACGAAGCUUCCGGGGUUAAUAGCCUACGGGGUGACGGUACCUACAGAAGAAGCCCCGGCUAACUACGUGCCAGCCGCCGCAGUAA